rnacentral:rRNA from 1 species
AGAGUUUGAUCCUGGCUCAGAGCGAACGCUGGCGGCGUGCUUAACACAUGCAAGUCGAACGCGCAGCAUUCUGUAGCAAUACAGGGUGUGGGCGCGUGGCGAACGGGUGCGUAACACGUGGAUAACCUUCCUUCAGGUGGGGAAUAACCCAGUGAAAACUGGGCUAAUACCGCAUAACAUGACGAUGGCACAUGCUGUUGUCUUCAAAGGCGCAAGUCGCCAGAAGAGGGAUCCGCGGCCGAUUAGCUUGUUGGCGAGGUAAUGGCUCACCAAGGCAAUGAUCGGUAGCCGGACUGAGAGGUUGGCCGGCCACACUGGAACUGAGACACGGUCCAGACUCCUACGGGAGGCAGCAGUGGGGAAUCUUGCACAAUGGACGAAAGUCUGAUGCAGCAACGCCGCGUGGGGGAUGAAGCUUCUCGGAGUGUAAACCCCUUUCGACCCGGAAGAAUGCCCGCAAGGGUUUGACGGUACGGGUAUAAGAAGCCCCGGCUAACUACGUGCCAGCAGCCGCGGUAAUACGUAGGGGGCCAGCGUUGCUCGGAAUUACUGGGCGUAAAGGGUCUGUAGGCGGUGCGGCAAGUCGAUAGUGAAAUCCCUAGGCUUAACCUAGGGGCUGCUAGCGAAACUGCCGUGCUAGAGUGUGAGAGAGGCGAGUGGAAUUACGGGUGUAGCGGUGAAAUGCGUAGAUAUCCGUAGGAACAUCCGAGGCGAAAGCGGCUCGCUGGAUCACAACUGACGCUGAGAGACGAAAGCUAGGGGAGCAAACAGGAU